rnacentral:rRNA from 1 species
UUAAGCGACUAAGCGUACACGGUGGAUGCCCUGGCAGUCAGAGGCGAUGAAGGACGUGCUAAUCUGCGAUAAGCGUCGGUAAGGUGAUAUGAACCGUUAUAACCGGCGAUUUCCGAAUGGGGAAACCCAGUGUGUUUCGACACACUAUCAUUAACUGAAUCCAUAGGUUAAUGAGGCGAACCGGGGGAACUGAAACAUCUAAGUACCCCGAGGAAAAGAAAUCAACCGAGAUUCCCCCAGUAGCGGCGAGCGAACGGGGAGCAGCCCAGAGCCUGAAUCAGUGUGUGUGUUAGUGGAAGCGUCUGGAAAGGCGCGCGAUACAGGGUGACAGCCCCGUACACAAAAAUGCACAUAUUGUGAGCUCGAUGAGUAGGGCGGGACACGUGGUAUCCUGUCUGAAUAUGGGGGGACCAUCCUCCAAGGCUAAAUACUCCUGACUGACCGAUAGUGAACCAGUACCGUGAGGGAAAGGCGAAAAGAACCCCGGCGAGGGGAGUGAAAAAGAACCUGAAACCGUGUACGUACAAGCAGUGGGAGCCUCUUUUAUGGGGUGACUGCGUACCUUUUGUAUAAUGGGUCAGCGACUUAUAUUCUGUAGCAAGGUUAACCGAAUAGGGGAGCCGAAGGGAAACCGAGUCUUAACUGGGCGUUAAGUUGCAGGGUAUAGACCCGAAACCCGGUGAUCUAGCCAUGGGCAGGUUGAAGGUUGGGUAACACUAACUGGAGGACCGAACCGACUAAUGUUGAAAAAUUAGCGGAUGACUUGUGGCUGGGGGUGAAAGGCCAAUCAAACCGGGAGAUAGCUGGUUCUCCCCGAAAGCUAUUUAGGUAGCGCCUCGUGAAUUCAUCUCCGGGGGUAGAGCACUGUUUCGGCAAGGGGGUCAUCCCGACUUACCAACCCGAUGCAAACUGCGAAUACCGGAGAAUGUUAUCACGGGAGACACACGGCGGGUGCUAACGUCCGUCGUGAAGAGGGAAACAACCCAGACCGCCAGCUAAGGUCCCAAAGUCAUGGUUAAGUGGGAAACGAUGUGGGAAGGCCCAGACAGCCAGGAUGUUGGCUUAGAAGCAGCCAUCAUUUAAAGAAAGCGUAAUAGCUCACUGGUCGAGUCGGCCUGCGCGGAAGAUGUAACGGGGCUAAACCAUGCACCGAAGCUGCGGCAGCGACACUAUGUGUUGUUGGGUAGGGGAGCGUUCUGUAAGCCUGUGAAGGUGUGCUGUGAGGCAUGCUGGAGGUAUCAGAAGUGCGAAUGCUGACAUAAGUAACGAUAAAGCGGGUGAAAAGCCCGCUCGCCGGAAGACCAAGGGUUCCUGUCCAACGUUAAUCGGGGCAGGGUGAGUCGACCCCUAAGGCGAGGCCGAAAGGCGUAGUCGAUGGGAAACAGGUUAAUAUUCCUGUACUUGGUGUUACUGCGAAGGGGGGACGGAGAAGGCUAUGUUGGCCGGGCGACGGUUGUCCCGGUUUAAGCGUGUAGGCUGGUUUUCCAGGCAAAUCCGGAAAAUCAAGGCUGAGGCGUGAUGACGAGGCACUACGGUGCUGAAGCAACAAAUGCCCUGCUUCCAGGAAAAGCCUCUAAGCAUCAGGUAACAUCAAAUCGUACCCCAAACCGACACAGGUGGUCAGGUAGAGAAUACCAAGGCGCUUGAGAGAACUCGGGUGAAGGAACUAGGCAAAAUGGUGCCGUAACUUCGGGAGAAGGCACGCUGAUAUGUAGGUGAAGUCCCUCGCGGAUGGAGCUGAAAUCAGUCGAAGAUACCAGCUGGCUGCAACUGUUUAUUAAAAACACAGCACUGUGCAAACACGAAAGUGGACGUAUACGGUGUGACGCCUGCCCGGUGCCGGAAGGUUAAUUGAUGGGGUCAGCGCAAGCGAAGCUCUUGAUCGAAGCCCCGGUAAACGGCGGCCGUAACUAUAACGGUCCUAAGGUAGCGAAAUUCCUUGUCGGGUAAGUUCCGACCUGCACGAAUGGCGUAAUGAUGGCCAGGCUGUCUCCACCCGAGACUCAGUGAAAUUGAACUCGCUGUGAAGAUGCAGUGUACCCGCGGCAAGACGGAAAGACCCCGUGAACCUUUACUAUAGCUUGACACUGAACAUUGAGCCUUGAUGUGUAGGAUAGGUGGGAGGCUUUGAAGUGUGGACGCCAGUCUGCAUGGAGCCGACCUUGAAAUACCACCCUUUAAUGUUUGAUGUUCUAACGUUGACCCGUGAUCCGGGUUGCGGACAGUGUCUGGUGGGUAGUUUGACUGGGGCGGUCUCCUCCUAAAGAGUAACGGAGGAGCACGAAGGUUGGCUAAUCCUGGUCGGACAUCAGGAGGUUAGUGCAAUGGCAUAAGCCAGCUUGACUGCGAGCGUGACGGCGCGAGCAGGUGCGAAAGCAGGUCAUAGUGAUCCGGUGGUUCUGAAUGGAAGGGCCAUCGCUCAACGGAUAAAAGGUACUCCGGGGAUAACAGGCUGAUACCGCCCAAGAGUUCAUAUCGACGGCGGUGUUUGGCACCUCGAUGUCGGCUCAUCACAUCCUGGGGCUGAAGUAGGUCCCAAGGGUAUGGCUGUUCGCCAUUUAAAGUGGUACGCGAGCUGGGUUUAGAACGUCGUGAGACAGUUCGGUCCCUAUCUGCCGUGGGCGCUGGAGAACUGAGGGGGGCUGCUCCUAGUACGAGAGGACCGGAGUGGACGCAUCACUGGUGUUCGGGUUGUCAUGCCAAUGGCACUGCCCGGUAGCUAAAUGCGGAAGAGAUAAGUGCUGAAAGCAUCUAAGCACGAAACUUGCCCCGAGAUGAGUUCUCCCUGACCCUUUAAGGGUCCUGAAGGAACGUUGAAGACGACGACGUUGAUAGGCCGGGUGUGUAAGCGCAGCGAUGCGUUGAGCUAACCGGUACUAAUGAACCGUGAGGCUUAACCUU